rnacentral:misc_RNA from 1 species
UCUUCCCAGGCCCACCACUUUCAUCGAGUGAGCAUUCGUCUUCUGGUUACGGGGCCAUAGCUCAGCUGGGAGAGCGCGUGCUUUGCAAGCAUGAGGUCGUCGGUUCGAUCCCGUCUGGCUCCACCAGAUGGUUUGAUCACCGAGAUCUUGUACCGUCGUCCGCGAAACAUCACUUCGCAUCCUGCUAGUCUGGAUAGACAGCAAGAUGCGUGUUUUCUGACAUCGUAAAGAGGAGAUCGAUCCGAGUUGGGUCGUGCAGCGGAUUGUUGCGCGAAUCCUUCAUUAUCUCCGGAUCAUUUUCGGCGCUCGCUUUCAGCCGUGAGGUUGAAUGCGAGUUGUAAAAUGAUCCUUUUAGCGAAGCUUGACCGCCUCGCUAUCGGAACGAUCUUACGAAGCAAGCUGGUCUUUCUAGUCAAUGUCCGGCUGUGCGUAGCGUUCAUCGAGGGCGCGUGCCGUAAGGCAAUCGUACAGACAACAUUCUGCCGAGUGUGUGGACAUUGAUAAUGAGAGCAAUCAAGUGCCUUAAGGGUGUUCGGUGGAUGCCUUGGCGCUGAGAGGCGAUGAAGGACGUGCUACGCUGCGAUAAGCCGUGGGGAGCUGCGAAGAAGCUUUGAUCCGCGGAUUUCCGAAUGGGGAAAACCCGGAA